rfam:Streptomyces xiamenensis strain 318, complete genome.
ACGUGGCGCCUUCCUACUCGGAUCGUCCGGCACGUUCCUGCCGGUAGAAGGAGAGAACA